GGUCUGAUGCCACGUCACCGAUAGCUUUAACAGCGUUGACUGGCGAUGCUAUGAUUGGACCGAAAGUGAUUCCAUGUUUCACACACUGAUAGGAACCGUUGGUUCACGGAGCCGAUUUCUGCGAUUACAUUU